rnacentral:rRNA from 1 species
GAGUUUGAUCCUGGCUCAGGAUGAACGCUGGCGGCGUGCCUAACACAUGCAAGUCGAACGGACUUAUAACGAAACCUAGUGAAUUAUAAGUUAGUGGCGGACGGGUGAGUAACGCGUGGAAAACCUGCCGUAUACUGGGGGAUAACACUUAGAAAUAGGUGCUAAUACCGCAUAAGCGCACAGCUUCGCAUGAAGCAGUGUGAAAAACUCCGGUGGUAUACGAUGGUUCCGCGUCUGAUUAGCUAGUUGGUGAGGUAAAAGCCCACCAAGGCAACGAUCAGUAGCCGGCCUGAGAGGGUGAACGGCCACAUUGGGACUGAGACACGGCCCAGACUCCUACGGGAGGCAGCAGUGGGGAAUAUUGGGCAAUGGGCGCAAGCCUGACCCAGCAACGCCGCGUGAAGGAAGAAGGCUUUCGGGUUGUAAACUUCUUUUAAGGGGGACGAACAAAUGACGGUACCCCUUGAAUAAGCCACGGCUAACUACGUGCCAGCAGCCGCGGUAAUACGUAGGUGGCAAGCGUUAUCCGGAUUUAUCGGGUGUAAAGGGCGUGUAGGCGGGAGCGCAAGUCAGAUGUGAAAACUCAGGGCUCAACCCUGAGCCUGCAUUUGAAACUGUGUUUCUUGAGUGCUGGAGAGGCAAUCGGAAUUCCGUGUGUAGCGGUGGAAUGCGUANAUAUACGGAGGAACACCAGUGGCGAAGGCGGAUUGCUGGACAGUAACUGACGCUGAGGC